UUUGAUCCUGGCUCAGGAUGAACGCUAGCGGCAGGCUUAAUACAUGCAAGUCGAGGGGCAGCGCGGUAACAAUACUGGCGGCGACCGGCAAACGGGUGCGGAACACGUACACAACCUUCCUUUAGGCGGGGGAUACCCCAUAGAAAUGUGGAUUAAUACCCCAUAGUAUGCUGGUUGGCAUCAACUGGUAUUUAAAUAUUUAUCACUUAAAGAUGGCUGUGCGGCUGAUUAAGUAGUUGGGGGGGGUAACCCCCCACCAAGCCAGCGAUCAGUUAGUGGUGUGAGAACACCACCAGUCACACGGGCACUGAAACACGGGCCCCACUCCUACGGGAGGCAGCAAUAAGGAAUAUUGGUCAAUGGACGCAAGUCUGAACCACCCAUGCCGCGUGAAGGAUGAACGCCCUCUGGGUUGUAAACUUCUUUUAUCUGGAAAAAAACUAUUUUUUUUCGAGGGUGUUGACGGUACCAGAGGAAUAAGCACCGGCUAACUCCGUGCCAGCAGCCGCGGUAAUACGGAGGGUGCAAGCGUUAUCCGGAUUCACUGGGUUUAAAGGGUGCGUAGGUGGGAAUGUAAGUCAGUGGUGAAAUCUCCGUGCUUAACAUGGAAACUGCCAUUGAUACUAUGUUUCUUGUAUUUUCUGGAGGUAAGCGGAAUAUGUCAUGUAGCGGAUGAAAUGCUUAG
rnacentral:rRNA from 1 species